AACAAGCUAACGACAGACGGGCAGCCUCGGAUCAUGUGAUCUUGUCUGACAGACACAACCAACGAGCACUGAGGCCACAGUGAGGAGCUCUGUCUGCCAACCCUGGUCUCUGCUUUGGCUCUGCUCCCAUACUGGCCAUAGCAGCACUCCAGCCUCCUGCCAUAGCGACACACACCUGGUUGGUU